rnacentral:tRNA from 17 species
CUAAGGAUGGUUCUUCAGAAGCUUGCUUCUAUCGAACCGUUUUAGAAACAUCAGUGGCCAACGGUCGUCAGGAUCGUUGAGCUGCAUUGGCGGGAUUUCGCCGUCUUCGUUUCUCUUUCUUCGCGGACGAACACGCGCUGGGGCUGCAACCUUGCAGAAUCCCUGGUCCUUGACUGGAUAUGCGUUAGGGGCUUGUAGCUCAGUUGGUUAGAGCGCGCGCUUGAUAAGCGUGAGGUCGGAAGUUCAAGUCUUCCCAGGCCCACCACACUCAUCGAGUGAGCAUUCGUCUUCUGGUUACGGGGCCAUAGCUCAGCUGGGAGAGCGCGUGCUUUGCAAGCAUGAGGUCGUCGGUUCGAUCCCGUCUGGCUCCACCAGAUGGUUUGAUCACCGGCUGCUCAUACCGUCGUCCGCGAAACAUCACUUCGCACUUACUAGUCCGGAUGGACAGUAAGCUGCGUGAUUUCUGACAUCGUAAAGAGGAGAUCGAUCCGAGUUGGAUCGGGCAACAAGUAAUUGUUGCGCGAUACUUCAUUAUCUCCGGAUCAUUUCGGCGCUCGUGCGUCUUCCAUUGUAGCUCACAAGGCUGCUUUGAAAGACAAGCGAGUUGUAAAUGAUCCUUUUAGCGAAGCUUGACCGCCUCGCUAUCGGAACGAUCUUACGAAGCAAGCUGGUCUUUCUAAUCAUUGUCCGGCUGCAGAUAGCGUUCAUCGAGGGCGCGUGCCGCAAGGUAGUUCUGCAGGCAACAUUCUGCCGAGUGUGUGGACAUUGAUAAUGAGAGC